rnacentral:rRNA from 1 species
UUUUAAUUGAAGGCUUGUAUGAAGGGUUGGACAAAGGAUAAGCUGUCUUUGUUUUUGUUUUUGAAUUUGUCUUUUAAGUGAAAAGACUUAAAUUAUUUUAAGGGACGAUAAGACCCUAUAAAUCUUUAUAUUAGUGUAUUUUUACUUUAAUUUUUAAUGUUUGUAAAUGUAAGAUUAUAGAAUAUUGUGUUGGGGUGACAAGAAUAAUUAAUAAACUGUUCUAAGAAAAAACAAAGUUGUUUGAUAUUUAAAAGAUCCUUUUUAGAGAUUAAAAGUUUAAGUUACUUUAGGGAUAACAGCGUUAUUUUUUUUGAGAGUUCUAAUCGAAAAAAAAGUUUGCGACCUCGAUGUUGAAUUAAAAUUUCUUUGUGGUGCAGUAGCUACAAGAGAGAGUCUGUUCGACUUUUAAAAUUUUACGUGAUCU